GUUCCAUGGAACUAAAAACGGACACUUUUUCAACCGAACACCGCUGAAGCCGUUGACCUCCCCUUCUCAAUCGACAAAAGUAUACGAAUAUCGGCCGACUCCCAUGGAGUCAAUCGCAUACCGAAGAACUGUAAUAGACUUUGACUCCAUGGCGAUUGAACUAUGCGUAUGGGAUCUGAGUGCUAUUCGCCAAUAAUAUGCACUCAGAUCCAGGCUAUCUGGGGAUGUGUUAUACGAAUGCAAUACGUUCGGCAGUUAUAAAGUUAUGUAUUUUAAUGUGUUUUGUAACUUUGAUUUAAAAUGGCGAUUUGCCUCUGCUCUGGGAGAUAAUUGAAUUACUUCUCAAUUAUCUCCCGAGCAGAGGGGAGGAAACUGUGGUGCAUGCUGGGAAUAUUGUGGGGAUGUAUGUCUGAAAUGUCCCCAUGUCCUUCUGUUAUUCCAGUCUCCC